UCAUUCACAGUUGAUUAUAACUUUGUACCUUAUUAUUUUAAGAGAGCAGUAUCAAAUUUUUAAUCUCUAUUUAGGAAAAAAGUCCAAUAAAACAGGAAAAAUCAUCGAAAUGCACAUAUUUUUACGAAAGAUCAUCACACUGACACAGAAGGCUUUCCAGAAUUACCUUCUGAUGAAAACUCUAAUGGACCUAAGUAUGACUGCUACCGGUGUAUUUUUUUUAUCCAAGUGCUUGCAAACGAAACACACAGAAGUAACUUGUUGUAUUUAGUCAUAGCGAUGUGGUUUAUUCUCACCUUAGCUGAAGACUUCACGACUGCAAUUAUUUACGAAACCAUAAUACAACAGGAUAAAUUAACUAAACGAAAAAUAGUCAAUGAUAUUUUAGGACAUAACAGUACCAAUAAAUUUCUACCGUAUAAAACGCAAAUUCUUCACAGUUUGUAUCACCACAAUAAUAAUUUACGCUUUAUGGUGUGUGGAUUUUUUCCAUUAAAUGGUACUGUUGUACAAUGGGUGAGUUAAAAAUUUGGUAGCUUUGAAUAACAAAAUUUUAACAGAUGUUGGGAGGAGUGGGAACGUAUGUUAUAUAUUUAUUACAAUUUUGAGGAUUGCUUAAAUCUAGAAACCAACUUGUUCAUUUUAUUGUACAAAUUACAAUAUUUGUAAUACAUUUGUAGGAAAACAUCGAUUUACAACUGUACUUUUUCUCAAAUGAUCUGAAAAAUCGCAGUUACAUAAUAAUAAAUUGCGAAAACAUUAUCAAAUUUGUUAAUAAUUUUUUUAAGCUACAGUUCAAACAAACAAUUUUCCUUGUUUGAUAAAAAAAUACAAAUUUUCCUGGUAGACCGUCAAAAUUGUCGAUAUGAUUACUAUCGCAAUUGCAAACACUUUAAAUUUCUAUAUUUAUCAUUAAUUUGCUGUAUGUAAUCAAUAAAUCAAUAACUGUAUUGAUGUAAAAUUCAAGAAGAUACCUAUAAUUGAAAAACAUAUUUUGAUUUAAAAAUGAUUAGCUCUGAUCUCUGCUAAGUAUAAGAGAGCAAAGCUUUGUCUUUUUGUCACAAAAGGGCAAUAACUGUUGUUAACAUCAAUUUAUGUUUAUUGCUUAAAAUAGAAAAGCCAAGUUAAAUAACUGCACCAAUGUGUACAUAAGUUAUCACUCAGUGUUAUCACAAAUGUGCAAGCUUUUUCUAUGGGACUAGUGAUUUUUGCAAUUAUGUUUCUCUUACACAAAAUAAUUAACAAUAAUAAUAACACCGAACAACAUUUUCAAAGCAAGCAAACUCACAAAAUUGUAAAACUCUUGCAUGCUUUACAUAUCGGUUUAUGUGUUUUAAUUACAACACACUGAGCUGUUAGGUAAUUACUUAACACUUGAAAAUACAUAAAAAUAAAUAAUGGUCGAAGUUUUCAUCAUUAAAUGACAAGCUUUUUUACUUAACAUGUCACACCCAAACAAUUUAAACGAAAUUAUUGCACGAAUAUUUACCUUGUGGAAAUACACAUCCUUACCCGUUUACAAAUUUGAGAUAAAAGCAGGUUUUAUCAGCACAAAUGUGCAAACUUUCUACUUCGGAAUAGCACUUUGCAGCGUUUUAUUUUGUUUUAAUAGUUUGAAUAUUUCUGACGAUAAUAGGUUUGAAUUUGCACUGCUAGACGACAGUGUUAAUUUUAUCGAAUCACUCACUUUUUUCGUGCAAAAUUCUUGUAUGCUUAUAAUUUGUUACAAGAAGAGAAAACAAAUCGUGAAAAUUCUCCCCGAAUUGCAAAUUUCAGCGAACGUUAUUCUAAAAUUGACACUAAACCAGUGGAAGAGAAAAUACUACAAGAACAUUAAAAGCAAGUUUUUGGCGAUAAUUGUUAUUAAAUAUGGUUUACUAAUUUUAAAUUUCGUCAUGGAUUGUCUAAACUUUCCAGAACACCCUGAAGAUUCAUUUGUGUAUCACGUAUCAUGGUGUUUCCAUUUUCACUUCUGGUUCCUCGUUCUUUUCUAUUUAUUGGUUCUGACGGAACAGUUCUCUCAUUUUAACCGACAUUUGGUAAAAAUAAAGAAGAAGAAAUACGUCCAAUGCAACAUAAAAAAAAUAAUCAAAAUACAUAAACUGCUUCUCGAACGACUUGAGCUAAUUGAAAAAGCCUUCGAAGUUUUGUGGUUGAUCAAAUGUGUAAGUGACAUUAUUAGAACAUCGCUGGGUGUUUUUUACCUCAUCGAAAUGUUCGUGGUAAUGGACGAAGUUGACAAUUUGCUCCUUUAUUGUUUGUAUACCUUAGUUUGGACAAUUCUAAUUGUGUUGGAAAACUUUUUAGAAAUUGUCAUCGUUGAUAAAAUCCUCCAACAGAACAGCACAGUUUGUGACCACAUUAUUGAACUUUUACCAAACAUACGAACAAAAUCUGUAAUACCAGUCACACAUUACGAAAUUUUGUCUUAAAUAUUUAUCUUCCAGAAGACACUUUUUUGUGUAAACACUUUUAUAAAUGAGGUACAAAUUACGAUUUGUGGCUUAUUCCCACUGAAUUGUUUUUACAUCAGUUGGGUGAGAGAAUAAAUGCAGUAAGACAAGUAUUUCCAAUUCAGUAAUUCAGAUGGUUACAGCUAUUGCAACUUACGUCGUGUAUUCGCUUCAGUUUAACAAAAUAAAACCAACUGAUUAACAACUCGCAUCCAAUCUAUUAAAUUAAAAAUUCCCAUUGAUUUUUUUGAGGAGAGAGGAAUAAUAAACAUUGGGCAAUUACGUAAAUGGAUGGACAUUAAACCUAUUUACCUAGAGGUCGAAAAACGAUUUACUCUUCAAACAAUGAGGCAUAAAAACGGCUUAAACGAAAUAGCGGCCCCGUUAUUAACUCUCUGGAAGUACACAGCUUUACCAGUUUACAAAUUCGAUGUCACAAGACGCCAAUAUGUUAGCACAAACUUGAAAACCUUCAUUCCUGGAAUAAUCUGUUCGCAGCUUUGUUAUUUCUUGGUUUGGAAAAUGUCUUCAACACUGAUGGAUACGUGGUGAUUGAGGAUAACGUCAGUUUUACUCAAAUGUUUACAUUUUUUGUGCAAAACUCCUGCAUGUUUAUUGCCUGUUAUUGGAAGAGACGAGAAAUUGUUGAAGUGCUAACAAAACUACAAAUUUCCGAAAAUUUGAUUCUAACUUUAACAGAAUCAAGACAAAGUUAUUACACCAAAGUUCGAAGAAAAUUUCUGACAGUGGUGAUAAUUAAAUACGGUUUGCUAAUUCUGGCUUCUAUAUGUGAUUGCUCUGAUCUUCCGGAGGAACAAUUAAAUUUGUUAAUAUACUACGUAUCGUGGUGUCUCCACUUUCAUUUAUGGCUACUUGUAACUUUCUAUGAGUUAGUGUUAAGAGAACAACACGUGGAAUUCAAUAAAUACUUAAUAAAAAUCAAAAAUAAAACACAUUUACAUAAUUCUCGAACAAUAACACUUGUUAUGAAAACAUAUGACCACCUCUGUGACCAUUUUACAUCAAUUAAAAACGCCUUUGAAGUGUUAUGGUUGAUAAAAUUCCUAACUGAUGUUAUUAUAACAUCGGUGGGAGUAUUUUACACCGUCCAGGCAUACAAGGUGGAAAAGAACAGUUGGUUACUCAGUAAUGUUGCAGCAUUUUUGUGGACCAACCUUGCAGCCAUUGAAAAUUUUUUAGAAGUAUUUAUUUUUGACGCAAUUCUUGACCAGCACCAAAUAGUUUGCAAUAAUAUCACCGAUAUCUUGCCCAAAACCAAAUCAUUUAGACACCGGACUCUUUUCUGCACUAAAACUUUGGUAAGUAAAGUGGAAAUCAUGGUUUGUGGUUUGUUUCCACUGAGCUGCUUUUAUAUCACUUGGGUAAGGACAAAUGUUUGGAUAUCUAUUACAAUUAUUUUGAUUCAGAUGGUUACAGCGAUUGCAACGUACGUCAUCUAUUUGGUGCAAUUUAGCAAAAGUAAAAACUAGUUACUUAAAUAUUCUAUUAAUAAUAAACGUUUUAUUUAUGAACGAUUUAAAUAUUCCGAGCUAUUAACAAAAUUAAAUCCCAAGAGAAAGGCCGGCUUUUGUAAUUAAUAAAAGUUUCGUUUCGUUCUUGUGACAUCAUGUCUGAAAAUAUUUCUGAUAUCGUUUCUGUCCUAUUUAUGUUUUGGAAAUACACAGCUUUGCCUGUCUAUCGUUUAAAUUUACACAGCAAAUUAUUUGUGAGCCGACGGUCCCGAAUAUAUUUUACCGGAAUAACAGCAUUUUUGCUGUUAUUUGCUUUUUCCAUUAAAACUGUGUACCUUGAUGCCAACAAUGAGCUGCAUGUGGACGUUUCGCUUUUUGAGUUGGUGAUGGUUUUUAGCCAAAAUAUUUUCAUUAUUGUGUUUUCGCACUAUAAACGAAAAGCAAUCAGUUUUCUAAUUGCAAAGUUUACAACCCUAGAUGAAAUUAUUACUAAAGUGACCAAAACAAAGGUUUCUUACCAUAGAAGUGUCAAAUUACAAAUUUUAAAACUUCUUUUGAUUGAGUCCGGAAUGGCGAUUUUUUGUUGUGUUUUGGAUUGUACCAACAAUCCGGAUGAAAAAUUAAACACAAUUAUUUAUUUUCUUUCUUGGAGUUACCAUUUCUUUUUUGAACUGGUUAUAAUCGUUUUGUUAAUAAUUUUGAGAAGGCAGUAUGAAGCGAUUGUGUGCUGUGUAGUGACAAGUAAAGACAUUAAUAUCAAAGAAAUUCUGAAACUGUUUCAUGUUUUGAGAGAUGUGUUUUUUUAAUCAAAAGGGAGUUUCAAUUUUACAUUUUAAUAAAAAUUGUAAUUGAUUUGUUUACGACAACGACAGGAAUAUACUACCAUACGAGAAUGAUUUUUGGUGGUGAAACUAAAAUUUCUGUCUUGAAAAUUCUUUAUUCGUUAAUUUGGACAAUUUUAAUAUCAAUUUCCGAUUUCACGACAAUAUAUUUUAUUGAUAAAAUCAUAGUCAAGGACCAGUUAUUAAGCAGCGAAAUAGAAAACGUUUUAAAUAUGCAUUUAUCUCGACGUGUUUAUAAACAGGAGACUUUACAUAGUCUAAACUCAAGUAAAUUAAAUUUUAUGGUGUGUGGACUAUUUCCUUUAAACUGCAAAUUAGUUUGUUGGGUGGGUUUUUAUAGGUUGUAACUUAUUUGUCUCAAAUUUUUUUCAGAUGAUAGCUAAUAUUUUCACUUAUGUCAUGUAUUUUAUACAAUUUGGAGAAAUUGGAAAUAAAAAGAAAAUGUAAUUUUAUAUACAGCACAAACAAUUAUAUUAUAAUUACAAUAGUUCAAAAUUAUUCGACAAAUGUUAAAUGUAUUGCAGUUAAGGAUUAGACAUUGAUUUCACAUAAAACUUGGCUUCUGAAAAAUGUAACAAUGCAAUGACUUUUGUUCUGUAUUUACUUAAUAAUUU